CAACUCUAGACGGGGGAUCACUCGGCUCGUGCGUCGAUGAAGAGCGCAGCCAGCUGCGUUACUUAAUGUGAAUUGCAGGACACAUUGAACAUCGACUCUUGAACGCAUAUUGCGGCCUCGGGUCCAUCCCGGGGCCACGCCUGUCUGAGGGUCGGCGAC
rnacentral:rRNA from 1 species